UUUUUUUUUGCUUUUCUCAAAAGUUAUGAGUAUGUGAGUUUAAGUGCUCAUAUGUGUAUGUGUGCGCAUGCAUAUGUGUGCACAAGCAUGUGUGUUCAAACACCAGGUGUCAUCCUUAAUCUCUCUCUACCCUAUCUGUUGAGAUGGAAGCGUUCACUGAACAUGGAGCUUUCUGAUUGGCUAGACUAGCUUAGUGACAAGCCCCAGUACUGCUCCUGUAUACAACAUAUCAGGAUUUUUCUUGAUUAAUUAAGCUAAAGGCCUAUUGAUUUGCUUUGCCAUUUCAAAUAUUCCUUCUGUUUCAUUGUUCCUUUUAUUGUUAUAUUCUCUACUCUGUUUAUUUCUACUCUGCUGUUUGUUCUUUCUUUCCCUCCAGUACCUUCGACUUGGUUCUUUCCUAGGUCCUUGAGUUGCAUCAUUAAGUUGUUUAUUCAUAAUCUGUUGGAUGUAGGCACAUUGCCAUAAGCUCCCUUCGAGGUGUUAUUUUUGCUUUAUCUCAUAGGUUUUGUAUGUAACCAUACCAUUGAUAUUAAGAUUGUUGUCCAGAAACAGUAGCUGUUAGGUGGAAUAUGCUGUCAACCUCUGUUCAAUUUGCUUGGUCUAUAGUGCAGACGAACUGAAUUAUUUGUUGACUUUCUGUCUCAAUGAUCUGUCUAUUGAUGAGAGUGAUGGUGGUGAAGUCCCCAGCUAUUAUUGUAUAAAAAUCUGUUUUUCCAGCAUAUUUGUACUCUUUCUUUACAUAGUUCAUGUUCCUACAUUGGGUGUAUAUAUAUUUAUAAUUAUUUCCUUUUGUUGAAUUAAUCCAUCUAGCAUUAGACAAUAACUUUCUGCAUCUUUUUCUACAGUCUUUAUUUACAGCGUUAUAACUACUCCUGCUUGCUUUUGGGUUCUACUUCUGUAUCUUUUUCCAUCCCAUCACUGUUGGUUUAUGGUGUCUUCAGUGCCAUAAUGAGUUUAUUAUAGAGAAUGUAUCACCAUGCUUUAGUGUAUCCAGUCGGCCUGUAGCUUUUAAUUGAGAGGUUGAAUAUGUAUGUCUUUCUAUUACAUGUUUUGCCAGUCAUUUAUAUGACCUGUGUUCCUGCCUUUUUUUUUUCAUUGCUGAAAUUUAAUGGUUUUCUAUUCAGAUAGGUUUUUCUUUCUCCUCUUUUGCGCAUCUGCUAGAGCACUAUUGAGUUCUACAUUUGGUGAUGCUUUAGUGGCAUAGAAUAUAGGAGUUGCAGUAUUACACACAUAUUUCAUGCAUCUCUCUUAAGCAAGGCAAAAUCGCUAGCAUUCUGGACACAGUGGUUUGAGGAUGAAAAUGCUUAUCAGUUUCUAUAGAUAAUAUAGGAACAGGGUCACCCCAUGGACCAAGUUAUGCAUGGAUCACCAUGCUCCUCAGUAGAGAGGAUGCUGCUAUCUGUAUCUGGAGCUUGCAUAGGAGCUGAGCUAUAAGCAAACAUAGAUGUGGUAUCUACAAGAGAUGGAAGGCCAUGAUGACACCAUAGACUCAAGAAUAUGUUGUUACUCUGCCCUUCAGAGACUUGGUUGGUGGCUUUCUGAGAUAAGCAUAUCAACUAAUUCUUGAGACUGCAGCAGGAUGUCCAGGACUACUUAGAGUCUCAGAGAUAGCUUCUGUGAACUAAGCUAAUCAGGGAUAGAAGCCUUAGUGGGCAAGCUAUGCAGGUAUGAUUGCUUAUUAUUUGCUCUUCAUGUGUUUCCUGGGAAGUAGAAAAUGGAUUUUCUUCAGACUUAAUUGUUCAACAUAGGCUGCCCAGAUGAUUUCUAAGCAGAGACAUCUAUAUAUUUUACAGAAGUGAAUUGGAAAAUCUGAUAAAAGCAGUUACUUGGUUGCUUUAUGGACCCUAAGAUGAGUAGAGUUACAAAAUGACCCUAUGAAGCAGGAGUGGGAUGGACUAGGCUCCUCUUUAGGGCAGUUUGGUAGUGUAGUAAAUAGGUAGUUACCCAACCCUGACUUGGGAGCUGUGAAGGCUGUAGACACUCUAUCAGCAAGCAGUAUGGUGCAAGAGAGGACGACUGGUUACUUUUUCCCACUGAGCAAACCCCUCUUGUUUCAGCUGGCCUUGAGAAUAAGAGGGCAGGAGGAUAGAUGCUAGUCCCUUCUUUCUAAGGUCACCACAUGUUUCCAUGUUCUUCAAUAUUUUUUCCACAUCUCACUUUACUCCAGUACUCCAUGCAAUAUGCUGGUGAAAUAGCUGUUGUUUUCCUUGAUAGAGAGGAAAGAAAACUAGACACUGCUCAUCAGCCAUCUUCCUGACAUCACCUUCUCAGUAGAAAUAGUAAUUUAUUUAGCUUAUGAUAAACUAUUCCAUUUGUAACUUCCAGGAUCAUCAAUAAAAAAAGUAGAGAAGGAAUAGAGUAAAUAUAUAUAUGGAAAUAAUAGAUGAGAGAAUAUAUUAUCAAGUAAAAACUAGAUGAUAGACUUCAUCAUAACUGUAUUUGUAAUUACAAUAAAUAUAAACAGACUAAAUACUCUAAUACUAAUACUAAUACACUACUAUUAUCAGGCUUUUUAAAUAUUUUCAAAGACUCUACUGUAUAAGUUUUAUAAAUGAUAAAUGUUGCCAGAUGUGAUAGACCACACCUGCUGUCUCAUUGUUCUAUUGCUGUGAAGAGACACCAUGACAAACUCUUAUAAGGCAAAGAUUUAAUUUGGGCUGAUUAUAGUUUUGGAGUUUUAGUCCAUCAUCAUGAUGGAGAUCAUGGCAGCACAUAGGCAGACACAGUGCUAGAGAAGUAGCUGAGAGUUUUACAUCUAGAUCAGCUGGUAUCAGGAAAAGAGAGACACUGGGACUGGCUUGGGCUUUUGAAAUCCCAAAGCCCACCCUCAGUGACAUACUUCCUUCAACAAGGUUACACCUACUUCAACAAGGCCACACCUCCUAAUCCCUCUCAAGCAGUGCCACUCCCUAGCCGCCAAGCAUUCAGAUAUAUGAGUCUACAGGGGCCAUUCUUAUUCAAGCCACCACUCCUGCAAUCCCAAUACUCAGGAGUGAAGUCAAGAGAAUUC
rnacentral:lncRNA from 1 species